rnacentral:rRNA from 1 species
CUACGGGUCGCAGCAGUGAGGAAUAUUGCACAAUGGGGGGAACCCUGAUGCAGCAACGCCGCGUGGAGGAUGACGCAUUUCGGUGUGUAAACUCCUUUUAUAUGUCAAGAAAAUGACGGUAGCAUAUGAAUAAGCACCGGCUAACUCCGUGCCAGCAGCCGCGGUAAUACGGAGGGUGCAAGCGUUACUCGGAAUCACUGGGCGUAAAGGACGCGUAGGCGGGUUGGAAAGUCAGGUGUGAAAUCCUACAGCUUAACUGUAGAACUGCACUUGAAACUUCUAAUCUAGAGUAUGGGAGGGGGAGAUGGAAUUAGUGGUGUAGGGGUAAAAUCCGUAGAUAUCACUAGGAAUACCUAAAGCGAAGGCGAUCUCCUGGAACAUUACUGACGCUAAGGCGUGAAGGCGUGGGGAGCAAACAGGAUUAGAUACCUCCGUAGUC